AGUGAUCAAUAUUUCUCUCUACCCUCAGUAAUUCUCAAAAGAACUCUGAAAACUGAAAAGUCUGACUCCCAAAGGUACAGCGGGGAAGUUACUCAAAAGUUUUGAGGCUUCAAUCAGAACUGAAGAACAAACUGAAGCUGCAGCCACUGCCAAAAGACCGAGGAGAGUGCUGGAUGGACCAUGUGCAGAGCUCCAUCCUCUGCUGCUCCUCGUCCCUCCUCCCUCUGCCAACACGAGGCAAGCUGAUGAGCUCCGUUUAUGAACAUCACUCCAAAAUGAAGAGGCAGAGGAGAAAAGGGGAAUGAAUCCCACGCACUUCCACUUCUUGCUGGUACCAUCUUGCCAAGUUGCGAGGAGGCAUCUGUAGUGAAUUGUAACACUGGUAUGUCUGGGCUCAUACCAGCUUCAGACAAGAAGCAGCAGUAAGAAAAACUCUUCUGCAAACCCUGGCAGACCCAGCAGUGACGGCCUGAGAGGCUGAAUUUCGCUCUCCGCUACCAAGUAUGCAGUAAUAAUAAAGCGGGCAGCUAAAUGGGAGAGAAAGGUGUUAAACAUCCUGCGUGUGUUAAAAUUACCCAGCGUUUUUAGCCAAAUCAGCCUCUCUGCACACGGCAGUGGAACUGUCAUGCUGUGUUGUCUAUAACC